GACGAACGCUGGCGGCGUGCCUAACACAUGCAAGUCGAACGAGGUCCAUCCUUCGGGAGAAGACCUAGUGGCGAACGGGUGAGUAACACGUGAAGAACCUGCCCCGAAGACCGGGAUAACCCUCCGAAAGGAGAGCUAAUACCGGAUACCCCCACCGAACCGCAUGGUUUGGUGAGGAAAUGGAUUCCGCUUCGGGAGGGCUUCGCGGCCUAUCAGCUAGUUGGUGGGGUAACGGCCCACCAAGGCAUCGACGGGUAGCUGGUCUGAGAGGACGAUCAGCCACACUGGGACUGAGACACGGCCCAGACUCCUACGGGAGGCAGCAGUGGGGAAUCUUGCGCAAUGGCGAAGCCUGACGCAGCAACGCCGCGUGGGGGAUGAAGGCUCUCGGGUUGUAAACCCCUUUCAGCAGGGACGAAUCAAGACGGUACCUGCAGAAGAAGCCCGGCUAACUACGUGCCAGCAGCCGCGGUAA
rnacentral:rRNA from 1 species